UAAAAGCCAGCAGCUACACUUUUUGUAGCUGCUGACUUUUAAUAAACUUAAAAAAUGGGUGGAAAACCCCUUUAAUGGACACCAAGCAAAAGAGUCCACGUUAAAUCUAGCUUUGAAACAUGACUAGGAAUAUGUGCUUUACACAGGACCCAUUUUGCAAAUAAACCUUUUUUGCCAAUGAGGAGAAAAAUGGUUGCUUUAUGGCCUAUGAUUUUAGUUUUCAACAAUCACACUUACAUUUCUGUCCUUUCCACUUUGAUCCCCCAGUGGCAAGUUACAGCAUCCAGAGCGACCUGCAAAAUCACCAGAAAGGACAAUAUACAGACAUGAUUUCCUUGGUUAAAGAAUUAGAAAUACAUAGGUGAAAAAAUGCACAGGUAAACCUUAUUUACAACUUACAAAGCAGCAACUUUCUCUUUUCUCACCCAGGCAAGAUAUUCUCGCCGCCCGCUGACAAAAUGCCUACAUUGACUUUAACACUUUGGCAACUUGCAAAUGCAGCAGUAGGAAAAUUACUGUAGGGGAAGAGCUUGCAACUUAGACUGGAUGAUCUUGCCACUGGAUUCCCGAGAGAUAUAGGAAAUGAAUCAGGUCAGGCAGCAUAUACCUAAAAAGAAUAUUAAUAAAACCCUUGAGAAAGUCACGUGAUCUGUGACGCAACACUUCGGGAAGGAGCCGGGUGACCUUAGACUUCCGGACAUGGCCGAGACGGAAGCUCAUAAAUAGACUGAUGCUGACUACUGUGCAAUUUUAUGGGCCCCUCAUCCAGAUCCAAAGGCAGAGAGAAAUAUUUCAAGACUCAUUCGCGUUGAUUAUGAACCCUUGCACACCGAGGCAUCUAGCUGUUGGGUAUCACUCCUGGCGGAUCCACUUUCCCUUCCUAGCAAUGCCUUUUAAAAAUAUUUCACUUUUGGAGGAUCUGUAAAAUGCACAUUGGCUGUGGACUGGACAAUUCUUCUCUAAAAAGAACAUGUGGAAAAUAUAAAUAUAAAGGCAGAGAUAAAUUCUCAAAAU